rnacentral:rRNA from 1 species
GACGAACGCUGGCGGCGUGCCUAACACAUGCAAGUCGAACGGAAGGGCGGUGCUUUUGUCGGGGGCCCGAGGCGCGAACGGGUGAGUAACACGUGAGUCACCCGCCCUGGACUUUGGGAUAACCUCAGGAAACUGGGGCUAAUACCGGAUAGGAGCUCCCGCUGCAUGGUGGGGGUGGGAAAGUUUCGGCGGUUGGGGAUGGACGCGCGGCUUACCAGCUUGUUGGGGGGGGAGUGGCUGACCACGGCUUUGACGGGUAGCCGGCCUGAGAAGGUGGACGGCCACCUUGGGCCUACGGGAGGGCGCAGUCUCGUACGGGAGGCAGCAGUGGGAAGUCUUACACAGUGGGGGGGCGUCUGAGACGAAGGCGUCGCGUGCGGAAUGCCGGCCUUCGGGUUGUAAACCGCUUUCGCCUGAGACGAAGCGUGAGUGACGGUAAUGGGUAAAGAAGCACCGGCUAACUACGUG